rnacentral:rRNA from 1 species
AUUGAACGCUGGCGGCAUGCCUUACACAUGCAAGUCGAACGGUAACAGGUCUUCGGAUGCUGACGAGUGGCGAACGGGUGAGUAAUACAUCGGAACGUGCCCGAUCGUGGGGGAUAACGAAGCGAUAGCUUUGCUAAUACCGCAUAAGAUCUACGGAUGAAGGCAGGGGACCGCAAGGCCUUGCGCGAACGGAGCGGCCGAUGGCAGAUUAGGUAGUUGGUGGGAUAAAAGCUUACCAAGCCGACGAUCUGUAGCUGGUCUGAGAGGACGACCAGCCACACUGGGACUGAGAAACGGCCCAGACUCCUACGGGAGGAAGCAGUGGGGAAUUUUGGACAAUGGGCGCAAGCCUGAUCCAGCCAUGCCGCGUGCAGGAUGAAGGCCUUCGGGUUGUAAACUGCUUUUGUACGGAACGAAAAGACUCUGGUUAAUACCUGGGGUCCAUGACGGUACCGUAAGAAUAAGCACCGGCUAACUACGUGCCAGCCGCCGCCGUAACAC